rnacentral:rRNA from 1 species
UACGGAAGGGGCAAGCGUUGUUCGGAAUCAUUGGGCGUAAAGGGCGCGUAGGCGGUCGCGUGUGUCUGCUGUGAAAGCACACGGCUUAACCGUGUGAAGUCGGUAGAAACUGCGGGACUUGAGGCUGGGAGAGGUUGGUGGAAUUCCCUGUGUAGCGGUGAAAUGCGUAGAUAUAGGGGAGAACACUCGUGGCGAAGGCGGUUCUCUGGGACGGUACUGACGCUGAGACGCGAAAGCGUGGGGAGCGAACAGG